rnacentral:tRNA from 1 species
GGAAGUGUGCCCGAUAAUGAGGG